rnacentral:tRNA from 2 species
AAGAAUUUAUUUUAAUAAUUAAAAUAUUAGAUUGUAAAUCUAAAGAUUAUUGUUCUUG